rnacentral:rRNA from 1 species
GAUGAACGCUGGCGGCGUGCCUAACACAUGCAAGUCGAGCGAACGGACGAGAAUCUUGCUUCGCUGAUGUUAGCGGCGGACGGGUGAGUCACACGUGUAUAACCUACCUAUAAGACUGAGAUAACUUCGGGAAACCGUAUCUAACACCGGAUAAUAUUUUGAACCGCAUGGUUCAAAAGUGAAAGACGGUCUUGCUGUCACUAAUAGAUGGAUCCGGGCUGCAUUAGCUAGUUGGUAAGGUAACGGCUUACCAAGGCAACACUGCAUAGCCGACCUGAGGGGGGGUUAGGCAAACCGGGAACUGAGCCACGGCCCAGACCCCUAGGGAGGGCAGCAGGAGGAAUACUGGAGCAAUGGGCGAAAGCCUGACGAAGCAACGCGGGGGGGGUGAUGAAGGUCUUCGGAUCGUAAGACUCUGUUAUUGGGGAAAAACACAUGGGUAUGUAACUGUGCAGAUCUGGACGGUACAUAAGAAGAAGGCCCGGGUAACUUACUG